rnacentral:lncRNA from 1 species
AUUCGUGCAUUCUUUUCUCUUUUGUUAUACUCUACUGUCUGUGACGUGCUUUAAGUUCCGUUGGGCAGACGAAUAUUGAGUAACCAACCAGCUUACAGCUCCCGUGGGUCGAUUACCAAAAGAGAGCAUUCGGCUUCGCUCAGUCGUCGGUAUCUGUGGUGAAUUCGUGAUAGAUUUAGAUCUUCUGUGUUUCUUGUUUUAGCUUCACAAUGAAUUCUUCGACAGUUUUUAUCCUGCUUGCUGUAUUCCUCGUUGCUUUAUCCUUAUCCGUAUCUGUUGCCAACGCUGGAGAAGAAAAAGAAGAGAAGAGCAAAGAAGGAGAAAAAUCAGAAGAAAAAGAAGAAGCCAAGGAAGGGAAAGAGGAUAAGAAAGAAGAUGAAAAGUCAGGGGCUCUUUCUACAGUAGUAAGCAAUGGCCUGCCAACUGUUUUUUCACUAGUCAUGGCUUGUCUGAUAAUUUCUUAUCAUUGACAAUGUGAUCACAUUUGUUCCCGAUACAUCUUAAGGACUUGCUUUUUUUGUAAAGAGAAAAAUAUGAAGCCACUUCAAAAUAUCACCAUUCUAACAAACCCUCGUUUUCAAUUUGUUCAGAUGCUAAAAAAGAACUUCAGAUAUUGAUUUCAACCAUUCAAGAUUUAUUUUUAAAAGAUAUUCUGGCAUAACAUGAUUUUCUUUCUUUCUUUUUUUUUGUCAGAUUAAUAUCUCAGGAAUUUAUUCAUCCAUUCUUUAUGUAAAAUCCAAUUACAAUUGAACUGUUCAAAUUUUAUAAAUAAAUAUAUAUUGAAUUUACAGGUCAGGUUUUUAUAAACAUAACAUUUGCAUAAGACAUAUAUGCGAUUAAAAAAAUUCAUCCCAAAAAAUUAGAAAAAUGCCUGAAAGCAAAGUAUAAAAAUCUUUCUUCUUUUUCAUUAAUUUUUAAACAGCAUCAUGCAUAGUUUGGGUGCACGAAAUAGAAAAAAUAAGUACUGCUAGUGUAGUCCUAUACUACAACUUUAUUAUAUGUAGCAAAAGUUAUUCUUCAAUAUUUAAUUUUAUUUUCAGUAUAUUUAUUUUUAAAAUAUUUUGAUCACUCAAAAAAAAAUAUUUAUUAUGAAUGUAAAAGUUCAGAUAAUCGAUCGAUAGUAUUCCUAAUAGUUUAGGUUGUAUAAUAUGCAGUUUUCGUUAUUUUAAACAUCUAUUUUUCCUACAUUGUUGGUCGAUGCAUUUUUGUGGACGCUGUGACAAUUUUCCCAAGCCCAUGUCAUACCAGCUCUCUUCAGUGUCCCACCUUCAUUUCUCAUCUCGAUGGAGAACUAAAUCACAUUCAGUCCAAAUGUCCUUUCAAAUUAAUGAACAGAUGGUAGCCACUGGGUGCCUUGCCUAGUCGAGACUGUAGAGUGUGUUUAAGAUGAUAUCUCUUUGAAACUGUUGCACGACAGCAACCGUUUGAUAAAGGAUGAGUGGAGAAGGCUUACGUUCUUACUCAACAUCAUCUGAGUUUUAUCUGUUAUUAGCAACCAGCAGACAUUUAUGUUUCACCGACGCUUUUCAAGGAUAUGGUAGGGAGCUAGUUGGACAUGGCAUGCAAAAUCUGUCACAGCGUCUAUAAAAAUGUACUUGGUAUUGGCCUAUUUGGUGAUUAUGUUGAAAAAUAGAAAAAAUUUUUAACCUAUAAAAUGAUUUAAACUUAUAAUACUGUACAUGAGUUUCCAAAAAAAAAAAUGGAUAUCUUACUUUCAUGUACAUGACGCUGCAACCAGUUAAAUGAAAAUGGAUUUGAGAAGAAUUAUUUUGAAUGUAAAGUCAAUAAUUUAUUUUACAUUCUAAUGAAUUAUAGCAUAAAUUCAAGAUUUAUUUAGAUUUAAAGGAUUUUUGUUUCAUGUGUUCUAGGAAAAAGAUAAAAACAAAUUAUGACAAAUCUCGUAAUCAAUUUCUUGCAUAGAAAAAACGUGAAUUAAUUAUAGUAAUAUAUAUAUUCUCAGAUUUGAUAUUUUCUUAUAAUGAUUUUUUCCUUAAAAAUUAAACUGAUAGCUAAAAAGAAAAAACUUUCAUUAGGCCUAAUCACAAAUUCACUGCUACUUUUUAAUCCUUCUAAUUUUUCUUUUUUGUGGCUUUGCGCUAUCUUGCAAUAGGAAAUGUUUUUAUUCUUUUAAUUUUAUUGAAGAUGAAAACAAGUUUUCAGGUGCCAUGUUGUAAAAGAAAAAUUGCUAUUAGAAUUGCUAUUAGAAAAAUUGCUUUCAAUAUUGUAGCUCGAUAAAUCUAUUGCUUUUGUUUUUGAGUUUCUGAAAGUCUUACGGUUCUCAUAAAUUUUAAAUAUCUUUAAUUAAUUCUAUUUUUAAAAAUUAGAAAAAUGAUUUAUAGUUUGAACAUUUUGUAUUCUAAGAAACUGACAAAUAUAUAGAUGGUUUAUGAAUAAAACUGAAUUAUUAUUUAAUCUCUUGUUUUGUCUCUGUAAGUGUUAUAUGUUAUUUGAAUUGUGAAAAUAAAAUACUUAAUUCUA